rnacentral:rRNA from 1 species
AACGAACGCUGGCGGCAGGCUUAACACACGCAAGUCGAGCGCCCCGCAAGGGGAGCGGCAGACGGGUGAGUAACGCGUGGGAAUCUACCCAUCCCUACGGAAUAGCUCCGGGAAACUGGAAUUAAUACCGUAUACGCCCUACGGGGGAAAGAUUUAUCCGGGACGGAUGAGCCCGCGUUGGAUUAGAUAGUUGGUGGGGUAAAGGCCUACCAAGGCGACGAUCCAUAGCUGGUCGGAGAGGAUGAUCAGCCACAUUGGGACUGAGACACGGCCCAAAGCCCUCCGGCCGGCAGCAGUAGGGAAUAGUGGAGACUGCGGGCACCCCUGUUCGCGGCAUGCGGCGUGAGUGAUGAAGGCCUUAGGGUUGUAGUGCUCUUUCACCGGGGAAGAUAAUAACGGUACCCGGAGAAGAAGCCCCGGCUAACGGCGUGCCAGCAGCCGCCGCAGUAA